AGAGUUUGAUCUGGCUCAGAUUGAACGCUGGCGGCAUGCCUAACACAUGCAAGUCGCACGCGAAAGGGGGCAACCCCGAGUAGAGUGGCGGACGGGUGCGUAAUACGCAGGAAUCUACCCACGAGUGGGGGACAACCCGGGGAAACCCGGGCUAAUACCGCAUGAGACCUACGGGUGAAAGCGGGGGAUCGCAAGACCUCGCGCUGGUGGAUGAGCCUGCGUCCGAUUAGCUAGUUGGUAGGGUAAAAGCCUACCAAGGCAACGAUCGGUAGCUGGUCUGAGAGGACGACCAGCCACACUGGGACUGAGACACGGCCCAGACUCCUACGGGAGGCAGCAGUGGGGAAUAUUGGACAAUGGGGGCAACCCUGAUCCAGCAAUGCCGCGUGUGUGAAGAAGGCCUUCGGGUUGUAAAGCACUUUCGAUGGGGACAAACGUGUCGGGCUUAAUACGUCCGGCCUUGAUGGUACCCAGAGAAGAAGCACCGGCUAACUCUGUGCCAGCAGCCGCGGUAAUACAGAGGGUGCAAGCGUUAAUCGGAAUUACUGGGCGUAAAGCGUGCGUAGGUGGUUGGAUAAGUCAGGUGUGAAAUCCCCGAGCUCAACUUGGGAAUUGCGCUUGAUACUGUCCGGCUAGAGUGUGGUAGAGGGUAGUGGAAUUCCGCAUGUAGCGGUGAAAUGCGUAGAUAUGCGGAGGAACAUCAGUGGCGAAGGCGGCUACCUGGACCAACACUGACACUGAGGCACGAAAGCGUGGGUAGCAAACAGGAUUAGAUACCCUGGUAGUCC
rnacentral:rRNA from 1 species